rnacentral:lncRNA from 1 species
GAUCCAGUAGUGACCAAGCCGAGAUUCGUUAAUAGGACCAACGUUAAACUGAAUUAUCGAGUCGCAAAUGAAAUUUAUCGACAAACUGUUGGGCGUGAUUUGUAACAUUGUAAUUAUUCUAUGCACAGGUGAAAUCUGUAAAUGAAUUAACACGUGCACUGUGUAGUGUGUAUCACAAGGUGUUCAGAAAAAGGAAAAAGGAGGCUCGUCUCUGCUGGAGUUCUGAAAUCUACAGGAACAAAGAAAAGCUGUUACUAUUGGCUCGGUUCUGCUCCUUACUGCAUAUCAAGACGAUAAAUUAUAAUUGGACUUGUGGUAACUUUUCGAUGAGGAAACUUUCGUUGCCAAAAGAAAAAUCGAACAUCGAUUUUUUGGUAGCUAUUAAAAGAUUUCGAGGGCGUAUCAAAUCGAGUAAUGUUCUUCGAAGAAAACAUACUGUUAUAAACCUUUGACAUAUUUCGAGGAUAGAUAUAGAUGUGUAUCAUCGAAAAAUCUGGAGUAGUUGGCUCGGCACCAAAUUACUGAUGACACCUUAGUCACACGAGCACCGAUUUCUGUCUAAUCAGCGACUCUCGAUCAUCCGGCUAAAUGGUUCGAGCUAUCUGCUACAAGAGCGAUCUCGGGAACUUUAAAUUACACUGUCAACUUAAAAACUUGAUAAUUCGUCGAUAGCGCACAUUAUCUGUUAUUCGAGUUAAUGAGGAAAUUUCUAAAUCUGCAAAGAUGAAUGUAUUUGAAAGAGUGUAGAAAUAAUUUCGAGUGUGUUUAACUAUUUAUCAAUCGUCAAUUUCAAUUGUGAUAAAGUGUAAAAUAUAAAACGCCAUUUGAAUAUGGAAAUAAAAAUUCUUUUUCUGCC